GUUGUGGUUGAGCCAAAAAUUUCUCGCGUAGGGCUGCGUUAUAUAUCAAAAAUUGGGGUCUCAACGAUUAACGUGCAUCUUUCCAGUCAGCUGAUUGCCUGAUUGCACACAUACAUGAGCGCAAAAUCAUAAACAAAUGAAUACAACACACGGUUGAUUAUUUUAACGACUUUCUGCUUGUGAGUGUUAGUGAUCCAAGCAGGCCUGAAAUAAUCUCUUAGUUUUCAACGGCCAUUUUGUCACAAGUUGUUUCAGCAGCAGCAUCGUGAUGGAGGUAACGGAAAAACCAAUUGAGUGUCUAGAGCAGCUGAAGGAUUCCUGCCUUUGCGUCCAUCAGGUGUGGACGAGUACUGAAGAUGGAUCGCAACACCUGCCGCUGAAGUGCCAUGAAAAGCCAACAGCUUCCGGACGGGUGCGCCCUGUCGUUCGGAUGUCACCAAUUCCUCGCUAGCGGUGAUAAAAAAAGUGUGGUAUGAAAGCAAAUGUGAUUUUUUUAUUAUAUACAUAACUAUGAGAAAGAAAGCUAGGAUUGUUAAAAAAUAUUAAAUAAAAAUUAGAGAAAAUUAAA